AAUGAACGCUGGCGGCAUGGCUAAGACAUGCAAGUCGAACGGGACAUAUAAUUGGGUAACCGAAAGUAUGGUUAGUGGCGAAAGGGUGAGGAAUAGAUAGGAACGUACCCUGUGCUCUGGGAUAGCGUCUGAAGCUUCGGCUUCUUCCGAAAGGGGCGGUAAUACCAGAUAAUGUCCUUCGGGACCAAAGAUUUAUCGGCAUUGGAGCGGNCUAUCUCCUAUCAGCUUGUUGGUGAGGUAACGGCUCACCAAGGCAACGACGGGUAGCGGGACUGAGAGGUUGGCCCGCCACAUCGGGACUGAGACACUGCCCGGACCUCCACGGAGGGCUGCAGUAAACGGAUAUUGGGCAAUGGGCGAAAGCCUGACCCAGCAAUGCCGCGUGCAGGAUGAAGCCCCUAGGGGUGUAAAACUGCUGUCAGGGGUCAGAAAGCUGGUUUCGGCCAGUUGAUCAACCCCAGAGGAAGUCACGGCUGACUUCGUGCCAGCAGCCGCGGUAAUACGAAGGUGGCAAGCGUUAUUCGGAAUCAUUGGGCUUAAAGGGCACGCAGGCGGAACAGUGUGUGUUGUGUGAAAUCCCCCGGCUUAACCGGGGAAUUGCACAGCAAACUGCUGUUCUUGAGGCAGGUAGGGGUGCCAUGGAACUCUUGGUGGAGCGGUGGAAUGCGUAGAUAUCAAGAGGAACGCCAGAGGUGAAGACGGUGCACUGGGCCUGUCCUGACGCUGAGGUGCGAAAGCGUGGGGAGCGAACGGGAUUAGAUACCCCGGUAGUCCACGCCGUAAACGAUGUCUACUAGGUCGUGGGUGUUCUGACACAUUCACGGCCGGAGCAAAAGUGUUUAGUAGACCGCCUGGGGAGUACGGCCGCAAGGUUAAAACUCAAAUGAAUUGACGGGGGCUCACACAAGCGGUGGAGCAUGUGGAUUAAUUCGAAGCAACGCGCAGAACCUUACCUGGGUUUGACAUGCUUGUAUGCCUUCUCUGAAAGGAGUUAGGCUGCCUUCGGGUGAAACUUGCGCAGGUGCUGCAUGGCUGUCGUCAGCUCGUGUCGUGAGAUGUCGGGUUAAGUCCUUUAACGAGCGAAACCCUUGCCGUUAGUUGCCAGCGAGUAAUGUCGGGGACUCUAACGGGACUGCCGGUGUUAAACCGGAGGAAGGUGGGGAUGACGUCAAGUCCUCAUGGCCUUUAUGCCCAGGGCUUCACACGUGCUACAAUGGCAAUUACAGAGCGACGCGAUACCGCGAGGUGGAGCAAAUCGCAAAAAAAUUGCCUCAGUUCGGAUUGCAGGCUGGCAAUUCGCCUGCAUGAAGUCGGAAUCGCUAGUAAUCGCGUAUCAGCAACCGACGCGGUGAAUGUGUUCCUGAGCAUUGUACACACCGCCCGUCAAGUGAUGGAAGCCGGGAGUACCCGAAGUCGGGUUGCUAACAUUUGGGAGGCGCCUGCCGACGGUAAG
rnacentral:rRNA from 1 species